rnacentral:snRNA from 1 species
AAACUUACCUGGCGCCGGGUUGAGGGUGAUCAGGAAUGCUCUGACCCCGGGUGGAGGCUCACCAUUGCACCUCGGUUGGUUGAAACUCGCGAAGAACCCUAAUCGGAUGCGCUAUGGCGUGUAGUUCUUGUCAGUGGGGAGGUCUUACAGUCCUCCCUC